UGUUAGCAUGAUCACAUAUUUACUUUAAGGGUUGUUUUUCUUGAGUAACUAAUCGGCAGUGGCAAUGCUGCUUCAGCUAAAUGUGAUACUGAUCGGGAUACUGAUUGCGAUACUGUCAACGACAAAGGCAGAAUCCCAAGUAGCUCAGUCCCUACCUGGCUGCCCAGAUAAAUGUGGAAAUAUUACAAUUCCAUAUCCAUUUGGAACACAAAAGCGCUGCAGCUUGAGCGAAGCCUACCAGGUCGUUAAAUGCUUACAGAGCUUGCACGAGGAGGCGGUUGUUGUGGAAUAUGGAUCGUUAUGUUCCGUGUUAAAAGUUUAAUCCUUAUAAACUUAUUAAACCUACGUUUUGGACUUUAAACUUAUGAACUAUGAACUUAUGUUUUGGACUCACGUUUUAUGCU